rnacentral:rRNA from 1 species
GAUGAACGCUAGCGGCAGGCCUAAUACAUGCAAGUCGAACGGGAUCUGAGGGUAGCUUGCUACCCGAUUUGAGAGUGGCGCACGGGUGCGUAACGUGUGAGCAACCUACCCAUAUCAGGGGGAUAGCCCGAAGAAAUUCGGAUUAACACCGCAUAAUAAUACGCUAACACAUGUUGAUGUAUUUAAAUAUUUAUAGGAUAUGGAUGGGCUCGCGUGACAUUAGCUAGUUGGUAAGGUAACGGCUUACCAAGGCGACGAUGUCUAGGGGCUCUGAGAGGAGAAUCCCCCACACUGGUACUGAGACACGGACCAGACUCCUACGGGAGGAAGCAGUAGGAAUAUUGGUCAAUGGGCGCAAGCCUGAACCAGCCAUGCCGCGUGCAGGAUGACUGCCCUAUGGGUUGUAAACUGCUUUUGUUAGGGAAUAAACCUUCUUACGUGUAAGGAGCUGAAUGUACCUAAAGAAUAAGGAUCGGCUAACUCCGUGCCAGCCGCCGCCGUAAAAC